rnacentral:rRNA from 1 species
GAUGAACGCUGGCGGCGUGCCUAAUACAUGCGAGUCGAGCGAACGGACGAGAAGCUUGCUUCUCUGAUGUUAGCGGCGGACGGGUGAGUAACACGUGGAUAACCUACCUAUAAGACUGGGAUAACUUCGGGAAACCGGAGCUAAUACCGGAUGAUCUUUUGAACCGCAUGGUUCAAAAGUGAAAGACGGUCUUGCUGUCUCUUAUAGCUGGAUCCGCGCUGUAUUAGCUAGUUGGUAAGGUAAUGGCUUACCAAGGCUACGAUGCGUAGCCGACCUGAGAGGGUGACCGGCGACACUGGGCCUGAGGGACGGCCCAGACUGGUACGUGACGCAGCAGGGGGGAAUCUUGCACAAUGAGCGGAGGCCGGGUGAAGAAGCGCUGCGUGCGGGAAAACGGCCUUCGGGGUGUAAACCGCUUUGGCCUGUAACGGAGCGUGAGUGACGGUAAUGGGUAAAGAAGCCCCGGCUAACUACGUG